UACGGAGGGUGCAAGCGUUUGCUCGGAAUUAUUGGGCGUAAAGGGUAGGUAGGUGGUCUCAUUUGUCUGGGGUGAAAGCCUUGAGCUUAACUCGAGAAGUGCCCCAGAAACGGUGAGACUGGAGUCUUGGAGAGGGUCGUGGAAUUCCCGGUGUAGCGGAUGAAAUGCGUAGAGAUCGGGAGGAACACCAGCGGCGAAGGCGGCGACCUGGACAAGCACUGACACUCAACUACGAAAGCGUGGGGAGCAAACAGG
rnacentral:rRNA from 1 species